AGAGACGUAGCUCUGAUAUCAAUUGAAAGGUUCGAUAUGGUUGACUAGAGGGGGUGAAUAGGAAACUACCAGUUUUUAGCUUAUCUUAACAAAUUAGCGUUAGCAACAAAAGGUUCUCUAUGUGAACAACUAGGUGAGAAACCUAGUUGAUGCUAACUACAAGGAUAACAAGUGCAGGCAAAGAAUACACCACAACAAUAACAACUGCAAAGUAAAGGUAAGAGAUAACCGCAAGUGGAACUGGUGAAGACGAGGAUGUGUUACCGAAGUUCCUUCCCUUUGACAGGAAGUACGUCUCCGUUGGAG
rnacentral:lncRNA from 1 species